rnacentral:rRNA from 1 species
UAAGAGGUCCAGCCUGCCCGGUGAUAAAAUUUAACGGCCGCGGUACCCUAACCGUGCGAAGGUAGCAUAAUCACUUGUUCUUUAAAUAAGGACUAGUAUCAACGGCAUCACGAGGGUUACACUGUCUCCUUUCCCCAAUCAGUGAAACUGAUCUCCCCGUGAAGAAGCGGGGAUAUAGCUAUAAGACGAGAAGACCCCAUGGAGCUUUAAGCUCAACAACACCUCCUUACAAAUACACCCCGGCAACCCACGAGUCCUGUUUGUUAGCUUUAGGUUGGGGUGACCGCGGAGUAUAACACAACCUCCACGACGAACAGGCCUAAAACCUUAAUCCAGAGCAACUGCUCUAAGAAUCAUAAAAUUGACGUAAAAUGAUCCGAUUCUCGAUCAACGAACCAAGUUACCCUGGGGAUAACAGCGCAAUCCAUUUCAAGAGCCCCUAU